AGCAUUCAGCCGUCAAAAAGGAGUUUGCAACCUCGAAGAAAGAGAACACGAAACUGAAGAAGGACAUUGAGAAGCUGUCUAAGAAAGAGGAUGUUUUGAAUGAGCAGUUGGCAGAGUCAAAACAACAAGUUGUUGGACUGAAGGAAGAAGUUGAAAGAUUGGAAUAUGCCAACAGAGAGAAGGAGGAAAAUGCAGUCUGUCUUCUUGAACAAGGAGCAUCUACUACUAAAAACCUGCAGGAUGAACUGAGCAGCAAACAGAAACGGGCAGAAACCUUGGAUGCACAGGUCAAGAAUCUCAAGUCAGAAAUAACAGAGAAGAAUAAGAAGAUUAAGGAACUGGAGAAAGAGUUGAAGACCACCAAGGGAAAGCUCACAUCAUCAACAAAAGCCUUCUCUAAGUUAGAGGAUGAGAU